CAGACUGUGGAGGACUUCAAAUAUUAGGCUAAGGAGUUUGCAUUUUAUUCUAAAACAGGAGAAUAACAAGAUCAGAUUAGUGCAUUAAAACUAGUUUGCCAGCUGUUGAAUGGUUGGAUGAAGGAGAAGAGACUAGAAGCUGAUACCUGUUGGGACACUAUUAUAAUUGUUCAACGUACAGAUGAUGUCAUAAACCAGAGCAGUAGCUAGGUGAUAGAGGGGAGGGAAGAAGGCACAGAUGUAUCAGAGGUGAAAUCAAUAGAAUGGUAACUGAUUGGAUGUUAGGGGAAGAGGAAGGGACAGAAUAGAAUAAAAAAUGAUUCCUAAGUAAGCAUAAUUUGGUUCAAACAACUAAUGAAGUUGAAGCACAAAACUUCAAGUAGAAAUCAGGGGGACAGGAAAUAGUGAUCAGUAUGACUAUGACUUGAAAAGGAGGUACUAAGGAUAAUUGUAUCAGGAAAGAAAUGCCAGAAUAUUUGUGUAUAGACUCAUGGAAGGGGCAGAGAGAUGUGAAUUAUAGGUAAGUUUUCUUGGAAAAUGGUAAGCCUGAUUGGUUUCACAUGUUACACUAAUAAGAACUUAAUUAUAUAUCAUGGCAAGUUUAUAAAGCAUGCUCUUUAUAACUAACCUGUGAAACAGAUUAAUAACAACAGUAAAUCAUGAUGAAGAUGAUGACAGCUAACAUUUAUAUAGUGUUUUCAGUUUGCAAGAUGGUUUGUAUACAUUAUUUCAUUUGAUCUUCAUAGCAACCCUAUGAGGUGAGGACUUUAUAUUGCUUCCAUUUAUUCCUAUUUUACAAAUAAUUCACAUUUCUGUGGGGCUUUGAGGCAUGCAAAGAAAAAACAUAUAUAAUAUAUAAAGGAUAAAAUUAUAUAUGUAUAUUAUAUAUCCAUAUCUAUCAUCUGUCUGUCUCUCUACUGAUCAUUCUAUAUCUUAUUUGAUCCUCACAGCAACUAUGAAAGGCAGAUGCUGUUGUUAUAAUUAUUUCACAGAUGAGGAAAUUGAGACCAGGAUACUGAAGAGUCUGAGUAACUUGCCCAUUGACAUCAGAAAAAGACUCCAAGUGCUUCAAUUCUAUGUCACACCUCAAAUUCUUGAGCAACAAUUUCAUUUCUGACUCUACUUAAAGGAUCCUGACAAUGUAAAGGGGUGGAGAAGUAAAGGAAAGGAGAAGUAAAAAUGACCCCAAACUACAAAUUUGAAACAGAAGUAAGAAAUUUUAUUCCAAUGCAUAAUGGGAAAUGCUAAGCAAUUAAAAAACAUAAAAUGAUUACAAUCUAUUGAAGACUGAGACAUUUACAAUAAGGUUGCUCAUUAAUUAUUUUGCAUUUCACCUCUACUGAGGACAAUCCAAUUAAUGCCAAAUAGGUUCUUUUCUUUUUCAGUGUUCCACACUCUGUUGGUGACUCUUUCUCUUUCACCCAGACUGCUAUUGAAUCUAUCACUGCCUCAGCUACUCCAAUAAUUCUGCUUCUUGGAUACCCAUGAAGAAAAAGAUGCCAACUGCCUUUGAGAUCUUACAAAAGCUCUAUUCCAAGGAAAAAAAUGGGCAGAAUGCAGUUGCAUCCUAGGCAAAGUCUUAGUGAUGUACUCAUGGACUAAUUCAGUGAAGUUAAGGUAGGAACUCAAAGAGUUGUCCAUAUACCAAGAGGCCAACAGAAAGAAGAGUACUGAGGAAAUGGGAUGGUAAUUUUAAUAUAUCUAUAGAAGUCUGGCUCAGUAGCCAAUUAAAAGGCUUCUUACUAUUUACAGGAAACAGUCUUUUCUUGGUGUGACCAGUCCAAUAGACUG
rnacentral:lncRNA from 1 species